UAUCAGGUCUAGCAUUAUGACAGAACAAUUGUUGCAACACACUAAAUGUUAAUGAAGACAUAUUACCUCACGAGUUAGUGCCAACUCAUGUUGUGUGUUUUCAAAUAAACCCUCAAGUUCUUGGCACCUGUGUUGUAGAUUUUCCUUUUCUUCCAGCAAAACAAUGCCAUAUUGGGCGGAUUGGAUUUUUUCGCUAUUCGUUUGGUCUAGCUCUCUCGUUAAGCGUUCGAUCUCCAAUGAUAAAAUUUCGACAUUACCAGUACCCGCUUCCAUUUUAGGGGAUCAGUUAAAACUAGUGUUCAAUUAGUGCUUAAUAGGAAAAAAAUCUAACAGUUAAAAUGCCGAUGGAAGCGAGAAUAAACGAGAUGUUCACGAGGAUAGGUGUAAGACGGUAGCCAUCACGGAACUGUCAGAAGUAGAACUGGGAAACACCAGAAAAAAAAAUGAACUGAACAGCUGACCGCAUUUGCCCUCAAAAAGAAGGCAUGGGCACUGGGCAGGGUUUGCCGGGAAAACAUCCAACUAAAAGAAUUGAUGUGAAUGUGAGCUGACAGUGUGAGAAUUCUGAGAAACUGAGAUAUUGCAAACACGAAAAAUUAAAUAUGGCAACAUACUGCAUACUAAUUCGGUUGUUGAUGAAUGUGAAUUGUUCGCAAGUUCGCCUAGAAAUCUAAAUUUCAUUAAAUUUAUAAGAACUAAAUAUCAAAAGUAUUACGAAUAGAAGUAUAACCUGAGCAAUCGAAUCAUUUGUAGUAACUUACCUACGUGUUUAAAGCAUCGGUGACCUGUUUUUCCAUCAUUAUAGUUAUUCUAAUGGAAAUCUUGUGUUUACAGUUGG